rnacentral:rRNA from 1 species
GGAGUUUGGUCCGUGUCUCAGUACCAAUGUGGGGGACCUUCCUCUCAGAACCCCUACUGAUCGAUGGCUUGGUGGGCCGUUACCCCGCCAACAACCUAAUCAGACGCAUCCCCAUCCCUGAGCGAUUAAUCUUUGGUCAGAUUCAGAUGUCUUCGUCUGACAACAUAGAGUAUUAAUCCGACUUUCGCCGGGCUAUCCUCUACUCAGGGGAAGGUUGGAUACGCGUUACUCACCCGUGCGCCGGUCGCCGACAGAAUUAGCAAGCUAACUCCUCGAUGCCCCUCGACUUGCAUGUGUUAAGCCUGUAGCUAGCGUUCAUC